CCUACGGGUGGCAGCAGUAGGGAAUUUUGCGCAAUGGGGGAAACCCUGACGCAGCAACGCCGCGUGAUCGAUGAAGCCCUUCGGGGUGUAAAGAACUGUCAGUGGGGACGAAACCUGACGGUACCCACAGAGGAAGCACCGGCGAACUCCGUGCCAGCAGCCGCGGUAAUACGGGGGGGGCAAGCGUUGUCCGGAAGCAUUGGGCGUAAAGAGUUCGUAGGUGGCACGUUAAGUCUGGUGUUAAAGGCGGAAGCUCAACGUCCGUAGGGCACGUGAUACUGGCGAGCUUGAAUGCGGUAGAGGUAAAGGGAAUUCCUGGUGUAGCGGUGAAAUGCGUAGAGAUCAGGAGGAACAUCGGUGGCGUAGGCGCUUUCCUGGGCGGUAAUUGACGCUGAGGAACGAAAGCCGGGGUAGCAAAUGGGAUUAGAUACCCGAGUAGUC
rnacentral:rRNA from 1 species